CCCUUAGACGUUCUGGGCCGCACGCGCGCUACACUGACCAGUGCAACAAGCAUCCGUCCUUGGCCGACAGGCCCGGGCAAUCUUUGAACGCUGGUCGUGAUGGGGAUAGACUUUUGCAAUUUUUGGUCUUCAACGAGGAAUUCCUAGUAAACGCAAGUCACCAACUUGCAUUGAUUACGUCCCUGCCCUUUGUACACACCGCCCGUCGCACCUACCGAUUGAAUGGUCCGGUGAAGCCUCCGGAUUGGCGCGCACCUCGGUGCCGCCGAGAAGUUGGCUAAACCUUACCAUUUAGAGGAAGGUGAANUCGUAACA
rnacentral:rRNA from 1 species